ensembl:snRNA U6 U6 spliceosomal RNA
GCAUUCACUUCGGUACCACAGAUUCCCAAAUUGGAACAUACAGAGAAAAUUAAACAGUCCCUGAGAAAAGAUGACAUGCAAGUACGUGAAGCAUUUCAUGUUUUU